AUUGAACGCUGGCGGCAUGCCUUACACAUGCAAGUCGAACGGUAACAGGUCUUCGGAUGCUGACGAGUGGCGAACGGGUGAGUAAUACAUCGGAACGUGCCCGAGAGUGGGGGAUAACGAAGCGAAAGCUUUGCUAAUGCCGCAUACGAUCUAAGGAUGAAAGCAGGGGACCGCAAGGCCUUGCGCUCACGGAGCGGCCGAUGGCAGAUUAGGUAGUUGGUGGGAUAAAAGCUUACCAAGCCGACGAUCUGUAGCUGGUCUGAGAGGACGACCAGCCACACUGGGACUGAGACACGGCCCAGACUCCUACGGGAGGCAGCAGUGGGGAAUUUUGGACAGUGGGCGCAAGCCUGAUCCAGCCAUGCCGCGUGCAGGAUGAAGGCCUUCGGGUUGUAAACUGCUUUUGUACGGAACGAAAAGACUCCUUCUAAUAAAGGGGGUCCAUGACGGUACCGUAAGAAUAAGCACCGGCUAACUACGUGCCAGCAGCCGCGGUAAGAC
rnacentral:rRNA from 1 species